rnacentral:rRNA from 1 species
UACGUAGGGGGCAAGCGUUGUCCGGAUUUAUUGGGCGUAAAGAGCUCGUAGGCGGUCUGGCGGGUCUGCUGUGAAAACUCGAGGCUUAACCUCGAGCUGGCGGCGGAAACCAUCUGGCUAGAGUCCGGAAGAGGAGAAUGGAAUUCCUGGUGUAGCGGUGAAAUGCGCAGAUAUCAGGAAGAACACCCGUGGCUAAGGCGGCUCUCUGGGACGGUACUGACGCUGAGACGCGAAAGCGUGGGGAGCGAACAGG